rnacentral:rRNA from 1 species
GACGAACGCUGGCGGCGUGCUUAACACAUGCAAGUCGAACGGAAAGGCCCUGCUUUUGUGGGGUGCUCGAGUGGCGAACGGGUGAGUAACACGUGAGUAACCUGCCCUUGACUUUGGGAUAACUUCAGGAAACUGGGGCUAAUACCGGAUAGGAGCUCCUGCUGCAUGGUGGGGGUUGGAAAGUUUCGGCGGUUGGGGAUGGACUCGCGGCUUAUCAGCUUGUUGGUGGGGUAGUGGCUUACCAAGGCUUUGACGGGUAGCCGGCCUGAGAGGGUGACCGGCCAAAUUGGGACGGGGAAAGGGCCCAGACCCCUACGGGGGGAAGGAGGGGGGAAUUUUGCAAAAGGGGGGGAAGCCUGAUGCAGCAACGCCGCGGGGGGGAUGACGGCUUUGGGGUUGUAAACCGCUUUCGCCUGGGACGAAGGGUGAGUGACGGGAAUGGGUAAAGAAGCACCGGCUAACUACGG